GCACAUGUAGUAUGUAUAAGUAUAUGUAUUAGCUAUUUUAUGAUUGGCAUGAUACAGUAAUGUGUAUCAUGCAUGUUUAUUAUAAGGUUUAGUUUCUAUAUGCAUAUUUAUGUAUGUAUUAGGGUAAAUAACUAUUUAUGUGUUCGCUAAUGCCAUUUAUGAUGUAUAUCUGUAUAUACUAGCAGUAUACUUAGGUAAUAUUUUGUUUAUUUAGGUUCACUAAGAAUCAGAUGUUUUAGUACCUGUUGGACUAUUCUGCCUGCGUCCCUGAGACGAGGGCGUUUUGUUAUAAUUCUGCCAACUGGGGAUCUCCUUAUCCAACGUAACCAGCGCCGAAUAAAUCCCUGAAACCACA
rnacentral:lncRNA from 1 species